rnacentral:rRNA from 1 species
GACGAACGCUGGCGGCGUGCUUAACACAUGCAAGUCGAACGGAAAGGCCCUGCUUUUGUGGGGUGCUCGAGUGGCGAACGGGUGAGUAACACGUGAGUAACCUGCCCUUGACUUUGGGAUAACUUCAGGAAACUGGGGCUAAUACCGGAUAGGAGCUCCUGCUGCAUGGUGGGGGUUGGAAAGUUUCGGCGGUUGGGGAUGGACUCGCGGCUUAUCAGCUUGUUGGUGGGGUAGCGGCUUACCAAGGCUUUGACGGGUAGCCGGCCUGAGAGGGUGACCGGCCACAUUGGGCCUGAGAUACGGCCCAGACUCCUACGGGAGGCAGCAGUGGGGAAUAUUGCACAAUGGGCGGAAGCCUGAUGCAGCAACGCCGCGUGCGGGAUGACGGCCUUCGGGUUGUAAACCGCUUUCGCCUGUGACGAAGCGUGAGUGACGGUAAUGGGUAAAGAAGCACCGGCUAACUACGUG